UUCACAGAAACCAUAGAGAAAUGGGCCACGCAUGAAAAGACAUCCGGUAAGUCUGGUGUCCUCUGAGAGCUGCUUCCUUCAAGCUGAUAAUGGCUCUCCGCCCCUGCACUGUGCCAGAAAUUGCCACUAUAAUAGCUUCAGUGGCUCAUUGACACAAUUUUUUUUGUGCUUCGGCAUGAGGUACUCUCCUCUGUGAGGGAAGAAGAUGCUGACUGAAGGGCUCUUCACAACGUUAACUGAGAAAGCAAAGCCAGAAGCAAAAGACCACAGAGCGGGUGCUACAGUUUCUCUGAGACUGGAGACUCCGGGAGUACAGACUGGCAAUCCGAGGGCUGGAACAAACAGGACAACCCGAAGGAUCUGCCAACAUAGGCCAGAUUCACACCAAGACCAUGAAGUCAAACCAAGGCUGUGAAGAAGGCAGCUUGGAUCAUCAUCUAGAAGUACUACACACACCCACUUAAGGAAUUCCACACCAACAACCACCUGUGCACAGAUAUCACCAUGAUUCCGGGAAGAAAACACUUCUGAGGCCUGCCCUGCCUCUGCUGGAGACAUAGACUGUCGUCCUUGGAGGGAAGUCUUUUCUGGGAGACACCACCAACGCUUGAGAUUGAAGAGUCUCCGUGGUUCUGUUACCUUUGCUGGAAUCCCUCUUCUGCAGUAGUUCUGAGCAUCUCGCCAUCUUCCCAGGCUGAAUUCUGACACCUCUGCACCCUCCCCCACAUUAGCUUGAUAUCCAAAUGUGACUAGAAGGCUGCAGAGACUCUCCCGGUGAUCAAUGACAGGUCCAAUCAAAGCCACCCAGACAGGCCGUGCACUCACACGGCUCCUUGAUAUAAAAGGUGUUUUAUUUCUCAUCCCUUUAUUUUUGUCACUGAAAGAAUGCUUCCCGCGUGUGGAUUAAUUAAAGUGUAAACAUUAAAUAUUGAUUGACGCAUUAUCAGCGUGGAGCAGUAGCCUCCCGACAGAUUGAUUCCUGCCUUGAUUUAUUGUCAUAUUCGCGGAGUCAUCACACUUGAUAACCAAGAGGGACCACCUGCCUCCCUCACCAUGCCUCCUCCACUCCUUUCUCUUCCUCCAGUCCCUCCUCUUAUUCUUCCAGGUGACAUCUGAGUUCCAGUAAGUAAAACAUCUUCAUCCGACUGUCGAGAGAAGAAAGCCUGUAGCCCGACACUUGUUUUGUGUGUUAUGCAUGCCUGUGGAUGUCUCCCAGACAAUUCUCAAAUCAACAUAGAAAUGAACAAAUCUACGCUCCACUAAAGGGGAUUUCUGGGUAACAGAGCCUGCCCCUACUGCGCUGUAGACAGUAUAAUAUAAAGGAGUGUGUGGCAGCUGCAAAGAGAGCAAAAUACUACCAAGGAAAAAGAAAGGUUCAGCUGUCAGUCUUCUUGCUUCUCUGUGGAACCUGACAGAGGACAGUAACAGGACAAUUCAUAGCUACAACUGGCUAUCUGCCUCUAAAGAGAUGAACCCACGGACCACAUCUUGUCGGAAUGACCUGCAGGAAAUUGCUGUUUUGACAGGUGGGGAAAUAUCAAACAGUGACAAUUUCAUAAGAUUCAAAAUCAUAUUUUUAAGCUCCUUCUGAAAUAGAACAUCCUGCUCUCCCUGUGUAUUUUCUUUCAGAAAGAAAAUGGCACAGAGGACCAAUAACGGGUCAGUCUGCUGAAACUUGUGUUUUUAGUCAACUUUUACAUAAUUUCCUAGGAAAAACCUGCAAAAUACCCAAAUAUCAUUUGAUCAAAAAUCUAGCCAACCAAAUUGCACCAAACAAGACUUCAAGUGGCCAGCAAGUCAGGAGAACCCCCAUCUGAACACCUGCCCUCAGAGUGAAGCCCUGUCACCCAGGGCCUGAUGCAUGGCUGUCAGUGCAGGUGGGCCACCAGCCUCGGAUGACCCACAGACAUGGCUUUACAGUCCUCCAAUUCUCUAGGUACUUCUCCUUGGCAGCACCCUCAGCACAGACAACUCAACAGAGAAGCAUCUGGCCUUAUCUCUGAAUCCCAGAGCCAGGACUUGGUAAGAGAGCACAGGAAGGCUCUGCUCCAGCCAGGGCCAGGGGACUCCUCGCAUGCCAGGCAGAGUACUAAGCAGGUCCACCCAGGAACUCUUUCUACUUUAU